GACGAACGCUGGCGGCGUGCUUAACACAUGCAAGUCGAACGAUGAACCCGGAGCUUGCUCCGGUGGAUUAGUGGCGAACGGGUGAGUAACACGUGAGUAACCUGCCCUUGACUCUGGGAUAACUGCGGGAAACUGUAGCUAAUACCGGAUACGACCCUCGGCGGCAUCGCCAGGGGGUGGAAAGAAUUUCGGUCAAGGAUGGACUAGCGGUCUAUCAGCUAGUUGGUGAGGGAACGGCUCACCAAGGCGACGACGUGUAGGCGGCCUGACAGGGUGACCGGCAAAACGGGGACUGCGACACUGCCCAGACUCCUACGGGAGGCAGCAGUGGGGAAUAUUGCACAAUGGGCGCAAGCCUGAUGCAGCAACGCCGCGUGAGGGAUGACGGCCUGCGGGUUGUAAACCUCUUUUAGUAGGGAAGAAGCGAAAGUGACGGUACCUGCAGAAAAAGCACCGGCUAACUACGUGCCAGCCGCCGCCGUAA
rnacentral:rRNA from 1 species